rnacentral:rRNA from 1 species
GAUGAACGCUGGCGGCGUGCCUAAUACAUGCAAGUCGAGCGAAUGGAUUAAGAGCUUGCUCUUAUGAAGUUAGCGGCGGACGGGUGCGUAACACGUGGGUAACCUGCCCAUAAGACUGGGAUAACUCCGUGAAACCGGGGCUAAUACCGUCUAACAUUUUGAACCGCAUGGUUCGAAAUGUAAAGGCGGCUUCGACUGUCACUUAUGGAUGGACCCGCGGCGCAUUAGCUAGUUGGUGAGGUAACGGCUCACCAAGGCAACGAUGCGUAGCCGACCUGAGAGGGUGAUCGGCCACACUGGGACUGAGACACGGCCCAGACGCCUACGGGAGGCAGCAGUAGGGAAGCUUCCGCAAUGGACGAAAGUCUGACGGAGCAACGCCGCGUGAGUGAUGAAGGCUUUCGGGUCGUAAAACUCUGUUGUUAGGGAAGAACAAGUGCUAGUUGAAUAAGCUGGCACCUUGACGGUACCUAACCAGAAAGCCACGGCUAACUACGUGCCAGCAGCCGCGGUAA